GACGAACGCUGGCGGCGUGCCUAAUACAUGCAAGUCGAACGGGAGCGACCGGUGCUUGCACUGGUCAAUCUAGUGGCGAACGGGUGAGUAACACGUGGGUAACCUGCCCAUCAGAGGGGGAUAACAUCCGGAAACGGAUGCUAAAACCGCAUAGGUCUUCGAACCGCAUGGUUUGAAGAGGAAAAGAGGCGCAAGCUUCUGCUGAUGGAUGGACCCGCGGUGCAUUAGCUAGUUGGUGAGGUAACGACUCACCAAGGCCGUGAUGCAUAGCCGACCUGAGAGGGUGAUCGGCCACAUUGGGACUGAGACACGGCCCAAACUCCUACGGGAGGCAGCAGUAGGGAAUCUUCCGCAAUGGACGCAAGUCUGACGGAGCAACGCCGCGUGAGUGAAGAAGGUUUUCGGAUCGUAAAACUCUGUUGUUAGAGAAGAACAAGUGCUAGAGUAACUGUUAGCGCCUUGACGGUAUCUAACCAGAAAGCCACGGCUAACUACGUG
rnacentral:rRNA from 1 species